GUUGUUUUUUAUGUUAUGUUAUUAUUUUUCUAGAGCUGAAGGCCUAAGUAUGACCACCAUGCAGGCUUUCAAGAGACAAUGACGCGAGGAAUAGUGAACACGGGGACGAUGUGAAGAGAUGAUGUGCUUAGUCAGAUUGCGUUUUUUUUUUAUUGUACUUUGUGGGGUUUUGUGGAAAUAAACAUGCUUGAAAAAUCGGAGCGGAAGGAGUGGUGAGUGUUUCCGAUGAGGUGGAGAGGGACACCUGGCGAGGGUGUGUCCGGAGAAGAACCCCUCCACUCGGGACCAGAACCAGGGAGAGGCCAGGGAGGAAGAGGGGGAAGGUAGCUCGGUAUCCUGCGAGGAGCUACCGGGUGGAACUCCUUAGUGAGCGGGGCUGGAAGCCAUCAGAUGUUUGGUGCCAUGGUGGAUAAAAAGCUGGGGGAAGAGCUUGGAUUUGAAAGCAGCUUGGAUUUGAUGGCACGCACCUUGCAGUGUGUGUUUAGGUGUCUGUGUUUGCCAAUGUGCUGGUAGUUAUUCAUGGUGGCAUUCUUCUACUGUUGGACAGUACGAUUUUUGUUGUUUAAUGUUUUGGUUUUGGGAAAUUCUGUCUUAAUGUAAAGCUAAACGCCUCAUUAAAGCAAAUGUAUGAAUGUAUGAAUUUGGUCAUUCAGGUCGGUGUGACCUGAUAUCUGUUGGUACUUUGUCCUAAACAGCGGUGUGUAGGUUUAAAUUGCAAUUUGAUCGGUUUUGGAAACUGCUUGAAUUUAUCUGGUUGUGUUAUCUUUUUCCCUCGUUCUGUCUGUCUCAUUCAUUAUUAAUCAUCCAACAGUGUCCUGCUCUACUCCCUGUUCAUUAAUUAUGGCUUCGCAGUAGAAAACUAGAAAUCUGGGCCUCAGCCCCCGACAUCGUUGUCUGUGAACAACCUGAUGCACUCAGAAUGAAAUUAACAAGAAAGGGAUAGAAAAGAUCACUCAUACUGUGUAGCAGUAUUUGGAAACAUUAUUGCAGUACCUGACAGCAAACACCACACACGUGAGGUGAGCACAGUGGUAUGUUACUGCCACUACAUAAAAAGUGUAUUUUCCCAUUGUGAUGAAUAAGUUAUUUGAAAUACCACACACAUUACAUUUAUAUCGGACUGAACGGCACCAAACUGCCCCAGGGAGAGGCGCCGAGAUCGGGGCUAAACUAACCUAGGAUUUAAGGCCGCUCCACUUCCUUCCUGGAUAUCGGAGUUCCAGUCACAUAAAAAUAAGAUGGAUGAAAUCAAGUCGGUGACAGCACACAUCUUCCAGAG
ensembl:lncRNA